rnacentral:rRNA from 1 species
CGGGGGGGGCAAGCGUUGUUCGGAAUUACUGGGCGUAAAGGGUGCGUAGGCGGCUUUCUAAGUUGGAUGUGAAAACUAUGGGCUCAACCCAUAGCCUGCAUCCAAAAACUGGAGAGCUUGGGUUCUGGAGGGGAAAGCGGAAUUCCUGGUGUAGCGGUGAAAUGCGUAGAUAUCAGGAGGAACACCGGUGGCGAAGGCGGCUUUCUGGACAGACACCGACGCUGAGGCACGAAAGCUAGGGGAGCAAACAGGAUUAGAUACCCUGGUAGUCCUAGCCCUAAACGAUGGAUACUUGCUGUGAGGGGGAUUGAAACCCUUUGUGGCGAAGCUAACGCAUUAAGUAUCCCGCCUGGGGAGUACGGUCGCAAGGCUG